rnacentral:rRNA from 1 species
GGGUCAGUAGGUUGGUCGUGCCACCGGUACGUACUGGUCUCACUGAUUCCUCCUUCCUGAAGAACCGUAAUGCCAUUAAUUUGGUGUUGCGGGGAAACAGGACUGCUACUUUGAAAAAAUUAGAGUGUUUAAAGCAAGCUAACGCUUGAAUACAUUAGCAUGGAAUAAUGAAAUAGGGCGAUCGAUCCUAUUUUGUUGGUUUCUAGGAUUGACGUA